rnacentral:rRNA from 1 species
GACGAACGCUGCGCGUGCUAACACAUGCAAGUCGAACGGAGAUAUUUGGAGCUUGCUUUGAAAUAUCUUAGUGGCGGACGGGUGAGUAACGCGUGAGUAACCUGCCUUUCAGAGGGGGAUAACGUCUGGAAACGGACGCUAAUACCGCAUAACAUAUUGAGGCCGCAUGGCUUUGACAUCAAAGGAGCAAUCCGCUGAAAGAUGGACUCGCGUCCGAUUAGCUAGUUGGUGAGAUAACAGCCCACCAAGGCGACGAUCGGUAGCCGGACUGAGAGGUUGAACGGCCACAUUGGGACUGAGACACGGCCCAGACUCCUACGGGAGGCAGCAGUGGGGGAUAUUGCACAAUGGAGGAAACUCUGAUGCAGCAACGCCGCGUGAGGGAAGAAGGUCUUCGGAUUGUAAACCUUUGUCCUUGGUGACGAAACAAAUGACGGUAGCCAAGGAGGAAGCUCCGGCUAACUACGUGCCAGCAGCCGCGGUAAUACGUAGGGAGCAAGCGUUGUCCGGAUUUACUGGGUGUAAAGGGUGCGUAGGCGGCUCUGCAAGUCAGGCGUGAAAUACAUGGGCUUAACCCAUGGACUGCGUUUGAAACUGUGGAGCUUGAGUGGAGUAGAGGUAGGCGGAAUUCCCGGUGUAGCGGUGAAAUGCGUAGAGAUCGGGAGGAACACCAGUGGCGAAGGCGGCCUACUGGGCUUUAACUGACGCUGAGGCACGAAAGCAUGGGUAGCAAACAGGAUUAGAUACCCUGGUAGUCCAUGCUGUAACCGUUAUUACUAGGUGUGGGGGGUCUGACCCCUUCCGUGCCGGAGUUAACACAAUAAGUAAUCCACCCUGGG